rnacentral:rRNA from 1 species
CAGCCGCCACGGGAAUACGUAGGGUGCAAGCGUUAAUCGGAAUUACUGGGCGUAAAGCGUGCGCAGGCGGUUUUGUAAGACAGAGGUGAAAUCCCCGGGCUCAACCUGGGACCUGCAUUUGUGACUGUAUAGCUAGAGUACGGCAGAGGGGGAUGGAAUUCCUCGUGUAGCAGUGAAAUGCGUAGAUAUGCGGAGGAACACCGAUGGCGAAGGCAAUCCCCUGGGCCUGUACUGACGCUCAUGCACGAAAGCGUGUGGAGCAAACAGGAUUAGAUACCCGAGUAGUCCCUGUCUCUUAUAC